rnacentral:rRNA from 1 species
CCUACGGGAGGCAGCAGUGAGGAAUAUUGGUCAAUGGACGGAAGUCUGAACCAGCCAUGCCGCGUGCAGGAAGACGGCUCUAUGAGUUGUAAACUGCUUUUGUACAAGGGUAAACCUGAAUACGUGUAUUAAGCUGAAAGUACUGUACGAAUAAGGAGCGGCUAACUCCGUGCCAGCAGCCGCGGUAAUACGGAGGAUCCAAGCGUUAUCCGGAUUGAUUGGGGUUAAAGGGUGCGUAGGCGGAUUGCUAAGUUAGAGGUGAAAUGUCCGAGCUUAACUCGGGAACUGCCUCUAAGACUGUGUAUCUAGAGAUGAGAUGCGUUAGGCGGAAUGUAUGGUGUAGCGGUGAA